rnacentral:rRNA from 1 species
AGAGUUUGAUCCUGGCUCAGGACGAACGCUGGCGGCACGCUUAACACAUGCAAGUCGAACGGUGAAGAAACAGCUUGCUGUUUCGGAACAGUGGCGGACGGGUGAGUAACACGUGAGCAACCUGCCUUCAAGAGGGGGAUAACGUUUGGAAACGAACGGUAAUACCGCAUAACAUAAUGGGUACGCAUGUAUCUGUUAUCAAAGAUUUAUCGCUUGAAGAUGGGCUCGCGUCUGAUUAGCUAGUUGGAGAGGUAACGGCUCACCAAGGCGACGAUCAGUAGCCGUACUGAGAGGUAGAACGGCCACAUUGGGACUGAGACACGGCCCAGACUCCUACGGGAGGCAGCAGUGGGGAAUAUUGCACAAUGGGGGAAACCCUGAUGCAGCGAUGCCGCGUGAGGGAAGAAGGUUUUCGGAUUGUAAACCUCUGUCGUCAGGGACGAAAAUGACGGUACCUGACAAGGAAGCUCCGGCUAACUACGUGCCAGCAGCCGCGGUAAUACGUAGGGAGCGAGCGUUGUCCGGAAUUACUGGGUGUAAAGGGAGCGUAGGCGGGACGGCAAGUCAGAUGUGAAAUAUACGGGCUCAACCUGUAGACUGCAUUUGAAACUGCUGUUCUUGAGUGAAGUAGAGGCAGGCGGAAUUCCUAGUGUAGCGGUGAAAUGCGUAGAUAUUAGGAGGAACAUCAGUGGCGAAGGCGGCCUGCUGGGCUUUUACUGACGCUGAGGCUCGAAAGCGUGGGGAGCAAACAGGAUUAGAUACCCUGGUAGUCCACGCUGUAAACGAUGAUUACUAGGUGUGGGGGGACUGACCCCUUCCGUGCCGCAGUUAACACAAUAAGUAAUCCACCUGGGGAGUACGGCCGCAAGGCUGAAACUCAAAGGAAUUGACGGGGGCCCGCACAAGCAGUGGAGUAUGUGGUUUAAUUCGAAGCAACGCGAAGAACCUUACCAGGUCUUGACAUCCUGAGAAUCCGUCAGAGAUGAAGGAGUGCCCUUCGGGGAACUCAGAGACAGGUGGUGCAUGGUUGUCGUCAGCUCGUGUCGUGAGAUGUUGGGUUAAGUCCCGCAACGAGCGCAACCCUUACCUUUAGUUGCUACGCAAGAGCACUCUAGAGGGACUGCCGUUGACAAAACGGAGGAAGGUGGGGAUGACGUCAAAUCAUCAUGCCCCUUAUGACCUGGGCUACACACGUACUACAAUGGCGUUAAACAAAGGGAAGCAAUACCGCGAGGUAGAGCAAAACUCCAAAAGACGUCCCAGUUCAGAUUGCAGGCUGCAACUCGCCUGCAUGAAGUCGGAAUUGCUAGUAAUCGCAGAUCAGCAUGCUGCGGUGAAUACGUUCCCGGGCCUUGCACUCACCGCCCGUCA